CAUCCGACCAUUCUUUUUCCCAACCCAGCACUACACAUCCGCUGCCUCCUCUCAUCCUCUGCAUGGGCGCGCACCCCCAUCCUCCCCAACCUGGUCGCCGGCGGGCCGCUGCUCCCUCUCCUCCAUCUCUGCACGGGCGCGCACCCCCAUUCUCCCCAACCUAGUCGCCGGCCAGCCCCUACGCGACGUCGUUCAUCGAGCUAGGGUUGGAGCAGCUCGGCGGCGAUGAGGAGCAGGCCAGCCCUCUCAAGAGGGUCGUCCACACCGUUGCCGUUGGUGACUUUCAGGGGCAGUCGGCACCUCUCCUCUCUAAUCGCGACUCCGGCGACGUCGGCCAGGACGUUCGCCAUCGGCGCAAACGCGGUGGAGAUGUAGGGCUCCUUGAGGGAGAGGUCGAUGCUGAGUUGUGCCUGUUGAAGCACGACGGAGAGGGGGAGGCCUUCCGGCCACCGCCGGCGUCCGCCAUGGGGCCGUCUCAGCCUCAGCUUCUGAUCGAGGUGCAGCUCCAGCAGCACCGGCAGUUUGCUGCGGGUCAUCAUCAGAGCGCAGUUCAUCUUCCAAAUCAUGCCCCGACCCCGGCUGCAUCUCCCCUUCCGCCACAUGAACGCCUUGGGUGUGGUCUUUUAGUCCUCACUGGUGAGCCCCUCCAUAUUAUUUUGUAUAGGGCUUCAGCGGCUGCUGCUUGCUUCUGUUUUAGGUGGUUGCCGCUUUGACAGGCGUUUGUGAAGCGAAUCAGGUUCGUUCUUCGGUUCGCUGAAGUGGCCGGGGAUUAUUCCGGACGUGGGACUCUGAGGCGCCGCUUCUUCGUGGGUAUUUUGUUGCUGCUUUUGUUUCUUUAUUGGAUAUGCCUCCAAUUUAAGCGCGCUGGCGAUGGCAAGAAGUUCGGCGUGGAAAGCGACCAGAUGGUUCCUUUCGUGGUAUUUGACCGGCUGUGCAGUGUGCAGUCGAGUAGUGUGACCUCAGGCUGGACGGAACGAGCGGGCUUUUGGGCCUGCUCGUGGCCUGUUAAGGACCGGACCGUACGGUUCAGGACCGGCGGAAAAACUGGUCGGUCCGGGCUGGCAUUUUCGGCCCGAAAAAAUCUCGGUCGGUCCGGUCUUUAACCGAGCCGCUCGGUCAGACCGAGAAGACGCAGUCACCGCUGGCACCGUUCCUCGUCAUCGCGGCCAUCGGCAGUCCCCGGGUGAACCAUCGUGUCCUUGAGCUUCCUCUCUUCAUCCUUCCUCUUCACCCCAUGCGCCGUGGCCUCUUGCCGCUGCUUGCCAUUGUUGUUGUGCGUGCACUACUGCCGAUCUGGAGUUCUCGAGCCUCGACCAUGGCCUCUACUCAAAGGAACGGGAAUUGCGGCCGUGCCAUCCCACGUCCACGAGCUGAAAUCGUGCCAUCCCACGACCUCCCACAACGGCCUCAUCUAACUAACCUGAAACUAAGAUAAGACGUGGAUAUGCACACCUUGCAUGGCGCGUUAUUUCAGCACAGCAUGCACACCGGCCAGGCGGCCACCAGCUACCCAGGUAGGCGAACGCCACGCUGGUGCCACAGGAAGAACUGGGGCACGAUCUCGAAUGCUCUGAAAGUGGCCCGGUUAUAUCGAAUUACGAGCUGAAUAAAAGGAAGAGCAGAAAGACAGUUGUGCGUCGCAGAAUCCUCUCCACUUAAUGCGUUCGUGCGUGUCUUCUUUCUCUUUUACUUUCUCGCGUGACCUCCCGUGUGUGUGUUGAUUCAGUUCUUGAUCUAACACGUAGCCCACCUCGAAGCUGCAUGCGCGCACAUCAACGCCGAUGGCUGGCCGGUCCAUUCGGUCCAUUCGGUCUAGCCCGGGCUUCACCGUCGCCGGUCCGGUCCAUAAAAGUAGGACCGCUCGGUUGCUCGGUCCGGUCCGGUCCGGACCGCCGCCGGCCGGUCCGAACGACGGCUCGGUCAAGGACCGGACCGGACCGGACCGUGUCCACCCUAAGUGUGACCUGAUGAUUUUUUAUUUCCGUCUUUGGUUUCCGGUUCUGAUGGUUUGGGGGAUCUCUGCUCCCUGUGCUAUGUGAUCUUAUUUUUGGAAAUAUGCC